GACGAACGCUGGCGGCGUGCUUAACACAUGCAAGUCGUACGGUAAGGCCCUUUCGGGGGUCCACGAGUGGCGCACGGGUGAGUAACACGAGAGUAACCUUCCCACAACUUUGGGAUAACGCUAGGAAACUGGAGCUAAUACUGGAUAUGUGCUCCUGCUGCAUGGUGGGGGUUGGAAAGCUCCGGCGGUUGUGGAUGGACUCGCGGCCUAUCAGCUUGUUGGUGGGGUAGUGGCCUACCAAGGCGGCGGCGGGUAGCCGGCCUGAGAGGGUGACCGGCCACAUUGGGACUGAGAUACGGCCCAGACUCCUACGGGUGGCAGCAGUGGGGAAUAUUGAACAAUGGGCGCAAGCCUGAUGCAGCAACGCCGCGUGCGGGAUGACGGCCUUAGGGUUGUAAACCGAUUUCAGCAGGGACGAAGCUUUUUGUGACGGUACCUGCAGAAGAAGCACCGGCUAACUACGUG
rnacentral:rRNA from 1 species